rnacentral:rRNA from 1 species
GACAGAGGUGCCGAGCGUUAGGCGGAAUCACUGGGCUUAAAGCGUGUGUAGGCGGAAUGGUAAGUACCUUGUGAAAUCCCACGGCUCAACCGUGGAACUGCUCGGUAUACUGCUUUUCUUGAGCCACUUAGGGGCUGUCGGAACAAACGGUGGAGCGGUGAAAUGCGUAGAGAUCCGGAGGAACACCGACGGCGUAGGCAGCGCCCUAGACGAGACCUGACGCUCAGGCACGAAAGCGCGGGGAGCGAACAGG